GAGGGUGCAGAGGUGCCCCGCAAGACCUGGACUCCUUCCCUCACCCUCCUCCCAUCGCUCUCCUCACUAUAGCUAUGGCCAGGUGAAGGCUUAGGGCUACCCGAGGACCUUGCUCAGCCCAGGGCCUCCAUCGCAGGCAUUGUUUCCAAACUCUGUAAGGGCUGUCUCUGAAUCUGUAGAAAACAUUUAUUUCUAUGUGCCCAGGACAGGGUUAGAAGGCACCAACCCCACCCCUUGCAAACUCUUCCUCACCUCUCAGUGCCACAAUGAGGAGAAGAAAGAGUUAGAAAUCAGGAAUCUACUCAGGGCUCCCCUCUCUUCUCUCUCCCAGCCACCCCCUGACUUCCUCCUUCCACAGAAAUAAAGAGGAGGCAACCACAGAGGACAUGGGGAGGUCCAGACGUUAUACUAGACAGCAGAGCCAGGCAGUCCCUCAGAGGAUGGAGGGAGGUGGUGGAGGUGUCUGGGACCAGAAAAUAGUGAGGGCGCUCUUACUAAAGUGAGGAGGGGGGGUAUAAACUGAGGCUCAGGUGGUGGACCAGAUCUCCUGAGCCAUCUACUCAUUUUUUCUUGUCUUACAGUUUGGGUAAGAAUAGGAUUUUUAAAAAGUCUGAAGAGGUUCCUUUCCUCAGAUAAAAAUUUGUUGAGGAUUCUUGCCCACUCAGGCAUUGAAGGGAGGCUAAGCCACACUCUCAGGCCAAUAGAAUUGGGGGAUUUCAAGGGAAUUUGAUUACACUGAAGUUCCCAGACUCUGCCAUCUAAGACUUAUGCCCUCAUAACAGAGCCCAGCACUGACACCAAAAUGGAUGAAGGCUGAUAGAUAAGCCUAGAAUAUUCUAGCUGACACUGACUUGUGGAAAACAGAAACAAGUUAAAAUAUUGAAGCAAUAAGGUGGCAUCCCACAGUGAGGAGAAGAGAACUUGAGUGGGGGAGGGUAGAGGAGCCAUUACAGGGUUGGACAAGGAGGACACAGAAUCUGAGGUAAGUUUGUGAGGAAGACUCCAGAUGCUUCAGAGAAGAUGGACAAGGAGGUAGGGAGUGUGAAGGCUGUGGGACCAGCUCUGGUCACCAGGAGAGAGUGGUCAGAUUCAGCACCAGUGUCUGGGGAGGAGGGAGUGAAGCCUGGGUGACCAGAGAGUGCAAGGCGGGCCUUAGGACCUGAGUGGGGCGCAGUGAUCACACUGUUGGGGGGUCCUUCAAGUGCAAGGGGGCUCCAGGAAGACUGGAGCUCAUUGUCACGAUGGAAACUUAGACAACAGCUCCCCAGACUUGUUCAAAGUCAUCACAGACCUUUCUCCUUUCCACAUGGCAAUGGGAGGAAAACAUAUGUCUGAAAUAUAUAAGAUGUUAGUUCUCCAUAACCUCUCCUGUUCCCUGGCUGAAUUCCUACUGGGAAAUAAAAUGACUCUCCAGUUUUACAUAUGACAUCCUCACUACAAAAAAGUUCCAGAAUGAGAAAGAUCUGCCCUCCCUGACCCACUGGUGAGGAAUCUCAGCCUGCAGGACCACUGGACUAAAUCAUUCAUGCCAUCUCCCAUGACAGCGUCAUGGUGACCAGGCAGCUUACCUUAUGGAUUUGGGUCACACACUGACUGUCCCCAACAUUGCGGCUGUGGACACUUACAUGCUGAACUCAUGGCUGGGAGAUCUGGGGUCCAGACAUGACAGGAAAGGGAGAAAGACCAGGAGCUCUGCCUAAGUAGCCCCACUGUGUGAAUCACUGCACCCUCCAGCCUCAUCUUCCAUUUGUCAUGGGUGUUGUCUUGUGAAAACGGAAAGCUGGGUUGGGACACAAGCAAGAGAGUCUCUGACCCACAAAUCUCCAUCUUAGGCUCUCUGGUCUUUCUGAUAUUCUUUUCACAGAUCAAUUCCGGGCCAAGAUACAUCCAUUCUCUGACGACUUGCCCUACCAGGGUGUCUUUCUCAAUCACAGUCACUCCUUCCUGGGAAUCCACUUCUCCUAGAUCCUGUUAUUUAUCUAAUGUUAUUUAUCUAUAUCUACUUGGUGGACUUCCCUACAUCUUCCCCUGAACCCCACGAAUCUUCAGGUCAUGUCCACAUUCCUUUGCUUCUCCUGUACUCCCUUCCUCCUUCUUCCCCUGUGAUCACACCUAGUCGAGAUCUCUUCUCAGACCCUGGAGCACAGCAGGGACUUCUCUGGUCUCUGCCCCAGGGAUUAAGGGGGUGGAAGAGAGGACCCCGGUGCCCCUCCUAUGCCUGUGUUUUCAUCAGGGUUAGCUGCACAAGGUAGGGAUUAGGCUGCCUAGAUCAACAUGGCAUUUCCAACCCUGCGCUCUAUGCUCAGCACAAGAUACGUGCUCAGUAACUAUCUGACAGAGACCUACCUCUUAUCACAUGGGCCACAUUAUACUGGACCCAGGGUGGGGCUGACCUGGGAGAGGUGGCCGUGGACCUGCUGCUCACUCUGCCCUCACCCUAAGAACUGAUGGGGCAUCCACCAGGAAGAGCAUUCCUGGGCAGGGAGGGGGUCAUGGGCAGUCUUGUCCUGUAUGUGAGGCACGGCUCAGUGCGAUCACAAGAUCCAGAUGACUAUGACUGCAAUUCUGGGGAAGUAGAGAAUGAAAAUUGACCAGAAUAACCCUCUGGGAAUAUGCCCUGGGCAUCCUAGAGGGAAGAGCUUCCCUUCUACUCAGCCCUGCAGGAUCCACAGAGGGAGAGCUCUGGCCACCAGGGAGGAGCCACAUGAGAGGAUCAGGUGUCUCCACACGUGGGAAAGUGAGUCCCUCAAAGUUGGUCACUGUUAUGGGUUUGAUUCUGUCCUAUGAGGGCAGUCACCACUUAGUCACCACCUGAGUCCUCUACGAUAAACAGUUAGAGCUCCCCAGACAGAUUCACUUGUGAGGAGCCCAGUAAAGUAGGAGAACUGCCCUGAGGUCACAGGGAGAAGACGCAAGCACCUCCUGGCCUGGCUCUGAGAGGGGGCAGUGGACAGAACAGCGGGGAGGCAGCAGUGUCUCUGGAGGUUCUGGUCACCUUGUCUUACAAUGGUUUGUCUUGGUCUGGACACCAGGGGGCACGUGGGGACCAUUAUUGAGAAGAGUGGGGAGAUCAGAGCAGAACCAGCCAGCUGCCCUCCCUAAUGUCCUCUGCUCAGGGCUCAAAACUGUGUCCUUUACACCCCUUGAUACCACAUAGCCCCACCCCUGCCACCCCCUGACAUCCUCAGGCAUAGGGGCCUGACCCAGGGCCCAGGGUGGGAUUAGAAAGCUGGGGUCUGAUUUGCAUGGAUGGACCCUCCCACUCUCAGAGUAUGAAGAGGGGCAGGGAGAGAUUUGGGGAAGCUCUGCUUCAGCUGUGGGCACAGGAGGCAGCACUCAGGACAGUCUCCAGCAUGGCCUGGUCUCUCCUUCUCACUCUGCUGGUUCACUGCACAGGGUCCUGGGCCCAGUCUGUGCUGACUCAACCUCGCUCAGCGUCUGAGGCCACCAGGAAGAGUGUCACCAUCUCCUGUUCUGGAAGCAGCUCCAACAUCGGAAGUAAUGAUGUAUCCUGGUACCAGCAGCUCCCAGAAACGGCUCCCAAACUCCUCAUCUAUUAUGAUGAUCAACGAGCCUCAGGUGUCUCUGACCGAUUCUCUGGCUCCAAGUCUGGCAACUCAGCCUCCCUGGCCAUCAGUGGGCUCCAGACCGAGGAUGAGGCUGAUUAUUACUGCGCAGCAUGGGAUGAUAGCCUGAGCAGUCCCACAGUGCUCCAGGGCCAGGGGGAAGUGAGACAAGAACCCCCUUCCUCCUCUGCCCGAAGGGUGAGCCCUGGCACCUGCUGCUCAGGCCUGGCCUGCGGCUUCUGCUGCUGUAGCUUCCUCCAUGGAUCCAGGGGCAUCCAGGGCUCUGCCUGAGAAUGGAGGCUCCUCUUCCCCUUUAGUCCUCAGAGUCAGGAACAGGGUGUCCAGAAAACAGAAAGUUCUGUUCCCUGCAGCUUGGGACACAGGGUGUCUGCACUGAAGUCCUGGGCUGAGGUGGCAGGUCCAGCUGUGUCAUCACAGACCCACCUCUGAUGGGGAACCUGUGUCUCCGUCAUCCUCCUUUCCCCAUUUCCAGGAGUUUCCAGAGUGCUGCCUUCCUCCUCCUGUUCCUCAGUUUGAAUCCCUGUGCUUCCUUUCUCUCAAGCCUAUUCUUUUUUUAAUAAAACUCCUUUCAUGUAAGAAUAAUGCACAUAUAACAAACCACCCAUAUUUACAAUAGGGAAUUAGACAAAUUUUGGCAUUUCUCUGGAUCCUUGAAAACAUCACCAGCACCGGGAGCUAUACAACCUGUGACCAACCCCAGCAGUUCCUCAUGACCCUUGUCACCUCACUUCCUCCCCCAACACCCUCCUUGGAAGUUGCAGAUCUGCCUCUGUCACUACUGUUUGGUUUCCAUUUUCUGGAAUGUAUCAGUGUUAUCAAACGUUAUCCUCCCAUUUGUUCAGGCUUAUUUCACUCUGCACACUUCUUUUGAGAUUCUCACUGUUGUUGCUGAAUUGUACCCAUCCCAUAGAGGGCUCAUUACUAUCUUUGAGGAUCCUUAGGCCAUUUUUUUCUGAUUUUAUUUUUGUAUUUAUUUUCAAGUUUCAAUGUAUUGUGCAUCAAAAUCAAACUUUAGGGGCAAUGUUCAUCUAAGGUGACAGGAGAUUCUGUGAUGGCUUAUCGGGAUUCUUGCUUCUUCAUCUCUUGCCUCUGAUUCCCUCUAUAGUGGAAGAGAUUCUCAUCUUUCAUUUAUUUAUAUAUUUAUUUAUUUACUUAUUUAUUUGGGUUUUUAAGAGUU